rnacentral:misc_RNA from 1 species
GAUGAAGAACGCAGUGAAAUGCGAUACGUAAUGUGAAUUUCAGAUUUCAGUGAAUCAUCGAAUCUUUGAACGCACAUUGCGCCCGCUAGUAUUCUGGCGGGCAUGCCUGUUCGAGCGUCAUUUCGACCAUCAAGCCCUAGGCUUGCGUUGGAGCCCUGCGGCUGCCGCAGGCUCCCAAAUCCAGUGGCGGGCUCGUCGUCGUACCGAGUGCAGUAAACAUCCUCGCUCAGGGAACGUGACGGGUUCUUGCCGUGAAACCCCCCACAUAUCAAGGUUGACCUCGGAUCAGGUAGGAAUACCCGCUGAACUUAAGCAUAUCAAUAAGCGGAGGA